rnacentral:rRNA from 1 species
CAGUAGCCGCGGGAAUACGAAGGGGGCUAGCGUUGUUCGGAAUUACUGGGCGUAAAGCGCACGUAGGCGGAUAUUUAAGUCAGGGGUGAAAUCCCGCAGCUCAACUGCGGAACUGCCUUUGAUACUGGGUAUCUUGAGUAUGGAAGAGGUUAGUGGAAUUGCGAGUGUAGAGGUGAAAUUCGUAGAUAUUCGCAGGAACACCAGUGGCGAAGGCGGCUAACUGGUCCAUAACUGACGCUGAGGUGCGAAAGCGUGGGGAGCAAACAGGAUUAGAUACCCGCGUAGUCCCUGUCUCUUAUAC